CCAACGUCACCAAUCGAUAUUUUUUCGUAGACCUGCAGCGCACUUCAUUUCGGAGCUGCAUCGCUGGGUAAAUGAACAGCUACAAGAGGUCUGAUGUUAAUUAAUUUAAAGCGUACUUCCCCGGCCCCCACAAUGUGUCGACAACAGCAGAGGUAGUUUCAUGGCAGUAUGCUGAAAGGCACCUAUACUUGAACAGUGCAUUGCAGUUGUCUUUCAG